rnacentral:other from 1 species
AAUUCCCUGCAGUGUUCGCCAAGGCUUUACAUUCCUUGAACCAAUACGCAUUUGCAUCGGUCGCCGCCCAUUGACGCCGCUGUUGUGAGCACUCCUCGUUGAGUGCACCUGAAGCGGCAGGAACGCGACCCAUCUGAACCCAGGUUCAGGAUGCCGGCCAAACGGCACUCGCGGGGAACCC